AACGAACGCUGGCGGCAGGCUUAACACAUGCAAGUCGAACGCCCCGCAAGGGGAGUGGCAGACGGGUGAGUAACGCGUGGGAAUCUACCCAACUCUACGGAAUAACUCAGGGAAACUUGUGCUAAUACCGUAUACGCCCUUCGGGGGAAAGAUUUAUCGGAGUUGGAUGAGCCCGCGUUGGAUUAGCUAGUUGGUGGGGUAAAGGCCUACCAAGGCGACGAUCCAUAGCUGGUCUGAGAGGAUGAUCAGCCACAUUGGGACUGAGACACGGCCCAGACUCCUACGGGAGGCAGCAGUGGGGAAUAGUGGACAAUGGGCGCAAGCCUGAUCCAGCCAUGCCGCGUGAGUGAUGAAGGCCCUAGGGUUGUAAAGCUCUUUCACCGGUGAAGAUAAUGACGGUAACCGGAGAAGAAGCCCCGGCUAACUUCGUGCCAGCCGCCGCCGUAA
rnacentral:rRNA from 1 species